UACAGAGGGUGCGAGCGUUGUCCGGAAUCACCGGGCGUAAAGGGCGCGUAGGCGGCUUUUCAAGCGUGCGGUGAAAGCUCGGGGCUUAACUCCGAGUCUGCCGUGCGAACUGGGAGGCUUGAGUCUGGUAGAGGUCGAUGGAAUUCCGGGUGUAGCGGUGGAAUGCGUAGAGAUCCGGAAGAACACCGGUGGCGAAGGCGGUCGACUGGGCCAGUACUGACGCUGAGGCGCGACAGCGUGGGGAGCAAACGGG
rnacentral:rRNA from 1 species